AAAGAAUUAGUUAAUAAAUAACAUAAAUUUGUCAAAUUUAAAUUAUCAUAGAUAUUCUUUU
rnacentral:tRNA from 1 species